GGCCCCGGACCCUGCUGUCGUAUCCCGUGUUUCUUGAAGUUCCGCCUGAGGGCUAAGCUGCAUAUUGAAUGUCUGAAUAUACUGCUCGGUCCUGGAAUUUGGGGGCUCACUAUUUAGUCCUGCAGAAGCAGAACCUGUCUGAGCCCAAAACCCCUGCCCUGGCUGAGCACCUGCUUGGAACUGUGGUCACAAAUCAGACACCUGUGCUGGUAGGAAGCAAGGUGAGGCUGUGCAGGAGAGGGGCCACCUGACCAGCCAGAGGGCAGUGGCUGGAAGUCAGCACAGAAGGGAGGACUCACCUGUUGUGUUUGCCGUGCUCCUUGGUGGUUUGAGGGAUGAGACUGGAGGCUGAAGAGCAGCGGGUCCCUCUCUACACUCCUGGUGCCAGACCCUGCCCCUGAGUGUGGCACUAGUUCUCACUGUGGAGACCCAGCAGGGAGGGGCAGCCAGUGGCCACUGCCCAGGACUGUGGGCUCCUCUCUGGCAGAGCAAAGGCUGCUCACUCUGAAGAACAGAAAGGACAUGGUGGUGGCCUCUGUGGCUAAUGCAUGCUGUUGCUGUGGCUUGGUCAUGACUUUUCCUCUGUGAAACUCCUGUUGAAAUUUAACACCCUGGGACACCGUGAGAGGUGGCACCAGGUGAGACCUCAAGAGGUGGUUAGGGCUGUGCCCUCAUGAGUGGAUUAACCCAUGACGUGAUUAAUGGAUUAGUGGACGAUCUUGAGAGCAGGUCUGCUAUAAAAACCAAUAUGGCUCAGCCACUGGCACCUCUCUCAGGUGCGAUGCACGGCACCACCGCCGUACUCCGCCGUCCACAAGCCAUCGCCAGAUGCAGCUCCUUGAGACCUUGGACCAGAACCAUGAGUCAAGGUAUCCCUCAAACAUCGCUCAGAACAUGCAUAACAGUCGCAAGUGUUGGCGAGGCUGUAAGAGAUGGGAGCCCUUCCCACACGCUGCUGCAGGGAAUGGAACACGGGGCAGCCACUUUGGAAAACAGCCUGCAGCUCCUCAAACGAUGGAACAGAAUUAGCGCACCACCCACUGAUCCACUCUGCAAACGCACAACAAACUCAUAUGUACACUUCAUAGCCACAUUACCAACAGUGGCCAAGAGACCCUCCUUCCCUGAUGUCCCCCGUGGGAGUCUGCAUUCAUCCUUCCAUGCAACGCUAAUAGAAAUUCAAGAAGGAGCUAAUUCCACUUUCCUCCUGAAUUUUCUUUGAAAUUCAGACUCUGAAAUAACACAUCUUGAAGACAUUUCACAAUCUACUAAGAAUGCAAUCAUUUUGAUGCAAUUUACUAAUAGUAAUAUUUUCAGGGAAAGAAAUUCUGUCUUACAGAAUGAUCAGUCUAUGGACUGGCCUUUGCUGCAAGGAAGGAUGGGCAUUGCAUUUGAGAGAUUGCUCUCACCUCCUCCUGAACACCUGCAACCCACUGGCAGAGGGGGCAGGAUCAGCCAAGGGGAAAUCCACCAGCACCACUCAGUGGGAGCAGCCCCCUGCCUCAGCCCAAACCCCUGGUACAGGGGCCAUGGAAGAAAGGCUCGCCACGCUCGCUCUCACAGGACCUCCGCUCAUGGACACAUGUGAACUGGAUUAUGCUUUGGGGCACUGAUGAAGGAAAAGUGGGAAAAGGGGCUGGAGGGAGGAGGGCCCGCAGGAGCAGCAGGGUUGCCUCCUCGGCUUAGCAGAAGAGGAGGACUGGGGAGCCCCCUCCUUUGUAUUUGGUUUGUCCUCAGCACUGCUUACAUCAGCAAGAAGUUACUGCUAAUGGCUACUUCAAAAACACGUCACCUGUUCACAAAAAAAGAUGGCUGCGAUAUAGGGUUCAUACCCCAAAAGGGUAAAAAUAUAGCAACACAAAUUAGAAAGCAAGAACCUAGAGAGCUGCAGGAGAGAGCCUGUGAACCAGGAUGGGCAGCACCCUCGGAGGGAGCAGUCACUCGGAGUUUUCCAGAGACGGAGAAAAAACAAUCGGGAAAUUUCAUGUCAUGUUUUCCAUUAUGAGAAAAUAGAAAGGAUUUAAGUUCCUCAGAGUUGACUGAAUGUUUUCUGGCAGUAAAUUAUUAACAUAAAAAUGCACAAGAAUUUCAACCAUGGAGCAUCAGAUAACACAGGGAGAAAAGGCCUGAAUGAUGUUUUUACUAGAGACUUAAGAGCUGUUUUCUUAUGACAGCUUCUUGCAAUAAGCCCUGAUGAAAGGCCAGUGCAGAGCAUGAAAGUGUAACUCAGUAAAUAAGAUGCUGGAAGAGGUCACCUCAACGUGCUCCAACUCUGUGGCUUCUGUCUGAUACGACAACAUGAUCCAAAGGUAAAAUCCAAGCCACGCAGGAGAAGGGAAGGGGCAGCCCGGGCCCGAGACUAAGCAUCACUGGUCUUGUUUGGCGCUGGCCACGUUCCGGGUGGCUGGUGCCCUGGCACUGGGGACCACAGGGGCUGGCUGGCAGGAUCUGAACUGCUCCUUCCUUCCAACACUGAGGCGCCACUGAGCAGUGACCUGGGGGUGGCUGCUGGCCUUGGGAGGCUGUCACAGGGAAAUCCGAGCUUUUCUUCGGGACCGUCUUUGGAACUGGUCUAGCUUUCAGUGUGGUCCUUCAUGAGCUCAGAGUUCAGUACUGAAUGGAGUCUUCGGAGACGAUGGGGCCUGGAAGGUCUUCAGUGUGAGCAGUGGAUGUCACCGCAGAUCCAGGGUGGUCUUGGAGAUGCUCCCUGGAGUGUGUUGGAGCAGCUGAGGGCACUGCAGUUGUCCCAGCGUGGCCUAGCUUAACGCCCUGGCUGGCUGGCGAGCUGGUGGGUGGCCACCCCUUGUGUGUUGCAGAGAGUCUCAAGGACAGUGGCUUCAGGCUUGCCAUAAUCCAGCGUGAGUCCCUUUUCCUGGUUGUGGUUGGAUCUUUUGAGGUCACUCCCAGUGCAUCAUAAUAAACCUGCGUCAUCAGUGGUUGGGGGGUUGAUCUUCCUCUGUAUUGUGUUGGGGACUGUUAGACUCUUAAGGUGUAAGUUCAUGGCCAAGGAAAGGAGAAACCUGAGCUGUGGUCUGGUGUCCCCUGUCCAUUGGGUCACCCUGCCUGUCUCUUCUCCUCUGUGUCACUGUUUUAGAUGGAACUAUUGACAGAGCCCUCUGGCUGAGCUGAGGAAGCUCCCACUGUUUUGGGGGUACUGUACGCUUUUGUUUUUCAAUUUGUCUCAGGUUACUAAAUCACAGCACCGCAACUACCUCAGCUACUGACACUGAAAGAAUACCAAGCUGCUGGUUCAGAGGCACUCCAAGGUGGCCUCAGAGAACACCGAAGGAAAAUGACUGGGAUGCAUUUUGCAAAAGCUUCCUGCGAGUCACCAAAGGGUCCCAUUCACAAAUGUUCCUGUGUCGGCUGCUCUUCAUUAGAGAGAGACUCCCUUCAGCGCUUCUCUGUGACCACAAAUAUGAAGCCGCUGACCACGGGCUGUUCUCUUGAGGAGAAUUCCUGUGUGCCUUGCUGAGUCAGCAAGCAGCCCCCCAGCAGACCCUUGGCCCAGAGACAGCAGAGGGCCGCACAUUUAUCAGCGCUCUAACGAGGCCUCAGAUUCUUCUUUCCUUGCCAAAAAGAACAAGAGAAAAUGCAGCCUGGUCAAAGAGGCAGAAGUGGGGAAAUCCCUUCCCUCAGAAAAACGAAGUGCAUGAGUUUCCAGCGAGGUCUGGAGGCUGCAGCUUGCGGAUCUGGUCUGGGUUCAUCCCACUUAAAUAUAUUCUUUUGGUGUUUGCCCAGAUUCUUACUCAGGCCAGCAUUUUGGCUGAUGGCCUUGAAGAAGAGGAAUGAACAGGACAUUCACGUCAGCCUGGGGACAGCGGCUUCUGGUGCUGUGGCCACAGAUCCCCAUGAGCACAAGUCCCUGCAGUGCCUGGUCCCCGCACCAGGCACCAACUCUUCUCCUGGAGCAUGACUCGUGGUGCUCAGCUUCUGCCAUGGAAUUUAAACUCUGUGCCAUCAGUGUUAUUUUUUCCUCCAGCUAAAAAUUUUUAGUCAUCAACGUGGGUGGCCCUUUACAACAUAAUAGCUAUAAGAAUGUGACUGAUUUACAGAAUCCAGUAGACAUUAUCACCAAAGGAGUAAAAUGACGUUUGCUUCUAGACGUUUGUUGUUACAAGAUGACUCAAGCGCCAUCCUUAGGUCGCUAGGUGAUAUCUUUGGAGGUUGCUCAUAGCUUUGGGAAACACGUCGGCACCAAUUUGCUUUUAUCAGCUCCCUCAGAUUUUCCCUCUUUCUGCCUCUGGAAGGAGGCUUCAUGAAACCUUCCCAAUAGUCCUCCUCAGGAUUGCUUUGGAAAGGAAGCCAACAUGGCUUCAUGCAUGGGUGAUUCCACAGCUCGGAGCUGAGGGGUCAGGACAGCCACUCACACUGAGGAUUGUGGGGGUUGGAGUUGGUAGAUAGGGGACAUGUACCCUCCUCCUCAGGACAGCAAUGUGACUCCCUCCUUAAGAUUUGGCUGGGUAUCUAAGAUGCUCUGGUGGGUCUAAUACCCAGCCAGACUAGCGGGGUCUAAUACCCAGCCAGACUAGCGGGGUCUAGGCUAUGCACAGAGGAAGUGACAUAAGUGAGGCCCUGGGAAGGACAGUACUCCAUGAAGAAGUGACAUCAGGCAGACCCUGACAAGGGGAUAGGGCUCCGUGAGUGUGUGGUUGACCUUGUGCUCAGGGUGAAAUGAUGCCGGAAUGCAGAGCUGCUGUCUCCACUCAUCUCAAACAAAAAUAGGCACAUCCAUCCACACCCCAGCUCCCACCGGCAGGUGGAAGAUUUAUUUCCUAAGUAUGGUCAGCGUCGCUCUGUUUGCACCAGGGCAUCCCUGUUCUCUGAGCAUGCUGUGCAAGCUCUUGGGUAAGGAGACAGGGUGCUGCCAAGAUCCCUCUGGGUUCUAGAUGGAGUUGCCCAAGUGGAACUUCUGCAAGGCUCAGAAACGCAGGUGGUCUCCAGCUCACAGAGCCUCUGCCCCCUCCGUGAUGACAGCUUGACAUCAAGAUGGAGUGCUGUGGGCCGGAUGCUGCCAGCUCCCUGGGACAGCAUGAGGGGUGGCCGUGCCAGAAGAUCUGUGUUUGGGCAUGCCAGCUCCUUUGCUGGAGAUGACUGGUGCUUUGUGUUUAUUGGAAUAUCAUUUCCACGUUGUUGUUGUUUUUUAAAUUAAGUCAGCUAUGUUGAGCUCCCCCAAGUUCUUGGUUCCACAGACCAAGGAGUAGUAAAUAGCAGGAGUGUCACUGAACCCUACAGUGGGGAGCUGGGCUCUGGUCUUGUUUCUUGAAUGGACAGGAAGAUGGAGCAGGCAGAAACUCAUCUCUCCCAAGGUACAAUGAGAGAAUUAGUUAUUCAGAAGAGGAGGGAUUUGGCCAUCGAGGACAAGAAGUGGGGAAGGCCUGGGCAGUGGGGAGAAGGGUGAUGUUCCUUUGAGGACCUUGGCUUUCUAGGUACAGAGCCAUGAGGUGAAGACCUGGGGCCAGCUCCCUUAGUGGUGGUGCCAACUGUAGAACCCAGGACGUCCUCCAUCUCCCUGCGUGUAUUGUUGUGCUGUAAUUCAUAACAACUCCUCAUGUUUCCAUAUUUGGAGGCUGGCCCGGGCUUGUAUCUAGAUGGCCUCCAACGACUGUCCCACUGCCUGAAGUCUCCAUUGGCUCCAGCAGCUGUUUCCCCAUGGGGUGGGGGUUGCCCCUCAAACAGAGCUUGAGGGUUGAAAGUCUCCAUGA